UACAGAGGGUGCAAGCGUUGCUCGGAUUUACUGGGCGUAAAGCGUACGCAGACGGUGAGAAAGGUCGGAUGUGAAAGCCCCGGGCUCAACCCGGGAACUGCAUCCGAAACCAUCUCGCUAGAGUAUGAGAGAGGGAAGCGGAAUUCCUGGUGUAGAGGUGAAAUUCGUAGAUAUCAGGAGGAACAUCUGCGGCGAAGGCGGCUUCCUGGCUCAUUACUGACGUUCAGGUACGAAAGCGUGGGUAGCAAACAGG
rnacentral:rRNA from 1 species